UACGGAGGGGGUUAGCGUUGUUCGGAAUGACUGGGCGUAAAGCGCGCGUAGGCGGGCAUUUAAGUCGGGGGUGAAAGCCCGAGGCUCAACCUCGGAACUGCCUUCGAUACUGCGGGUCUCGAGUCCGGGAGAGGUGAGUGGAAUUCCUAGUGUAGAGGUGAAAUUCGUAGAUAUUAGGAAGAACACCAGCGGCGAAGGCGGCUCACUGGCCCGGUACUGACGCUGAGGCGCGAAAGCGUGGGGAGCAAACGGG
rnacentral:rRNA from 1 species